GCGAUCUAGUGCAAUAUAAUUGAAUCUUUACCAUGAAAUUGCAAUAUUUUUAAAUCAUUCGGUCAAUAAAUGCCGAUUUGUCGACGAGAUGAAUUCUUUGUAUUUGAAAGAUGGCAAUACUAAGAAAAAAUUGCAACUAAUUUCAAUUUCAUCGCGAUCACUUUCAACUUCAACAGGAGGUGCCCCUUCAAUCAGGAGGUAGGCAACAUACCUAACACUCCGAUACUUCGACGACUCCUAUGCUGCAGGCUCCAAUUUUACCAUUUUCGUAAUUGCUUUUGAUUGCAGUUUUUGCCAAGUACUUGAGUAUCUUUCGGACAGUCAUUCAACCCACCGCCCAAACCAGAAGGGAGAGGGCUUAUUGUUCCGGUUACCUUCAACCUUCAACAUUUUUCUUGACUGUUUCUGAAGAGGAAACACAGUAAAAAAGGUAAUUAGAUAGGUACCUCCUUUUCACUUUUCACCUCAACCUCGGAGGAGAAGAAUUACUGCCUGCUUACAGAGGGUUUUUUGAAGUGCAUUGGGCGUAAAUAUCGUAAAGCAUUGACGGCGACAGUAUUAUUGCAUUCGCGAUAAAUUUAUCAGUAUUUCCUAGUAAUUUCCAUCAAGAUAGGGCAGACAUUGAGGGUCAUUGUCACUCAUCCUCAUUCUCCAUUUCGUUUCGAGGACUUUCGUGGACGAUUGUUACAUCGAAAUAUCGAGCUACAAUUCAUCCACACCAUCGCUUGGGCACCUGAAGUACCUUCAGAUACCGAGAUUUUCUUAGCUGGAAAAACUUGUUCUCCUCGUAUUCCAGUCUACUUAAUUGAACAAUGGUUGGCUGCUAGAUUUUUUUUCUGAUAUCCAUCAUUCUCUGUUAUUGCAAUGGAUUUUGAGGAUCGCUUUCCCAAAUUAAUGGAGGAGCUUCAAGGGCAGCCGUGGUCCAAUCUGAGGACAAAGUUGGACAAUCUUUUGGAAGAUUUUCCAGAUGAAGAGAAAUCUGACAGCAGAAGACUGAUAGAGACUAGAUGCGGGAAGCUGGAUAAAGCCGAUGUUGCUAUCUACGGUUGUUGUCCUGAGUUGGAAGAGUUAGUCGUUGUUCAAUGUAGAAUAUGCUCAAAAAUAGUCAAAGCUGAAGCAAUAGAAUAUCAUUAUGAAACAUGUCAUGAAGAGGCGCAUAAAUUAGUGGUUAAAGCAGUGGAAGAUAAGCGCACAUCCACGGCAGAAUUGAAGCAACUUCAAGAAACGCUCUCUACUUUUUCCGUUAAGCCUGCCACUACUGUAAAACCAGGGAAGCAGACUCCGUCGGGAAAAUCUACUAGCUUAAAAACUCCUGUUUCAAAAUCUAAAACGAAAUCGAAAAAAUUGGUUAUUGAUCCAGUUGUCCCUUCCUCCUCCAAAGCCUUGUUCCCUCCUUCGCCGCAGUCAAAACCGAGUACCUCUCAAAACAAGCUCCCAUACCUGUGGCGAACUCACCUCAAAGUCAAAAGGUAAUUUUCCUUUUUUUACUUUUCUGUACCCAUAAGCGAUUCUUUAAGUUUAUUAUGAA
rnacentral:lncRNA from 1 species